AUUGAACGCUGGCGGCAGGCCUAACACAUGCAAGUCGAGCGGAUGAAGGGAGCUUGCUCCUGGAUUCAGCGGCGGACGGGUGAGUAAUGCCUAGGAAUCUGCCUGGUAGUGGGGGAUAACGUCCGGAGACGGGCGCUAAUACCGCAUACGUCCUGAGGGAGAAAGUGGGGGAUCUUCGGACCUCACGCUAUCAGAUGAGCCUAGGUCGGAUUAGCUAGUUGGUGGGGUAAAGGCCUACCAAGGCGACGAUCCGUAACUGGUCUGAGAGGAUGAUCAGUCACACUGGAACUGAGACACGGUCCAGACUCCUACGGGAGGCAGCAGUGGGGAAUAUUGGACAAUGGGCGAAAGCCUGAUCCAGCCAUGCCGCGUGUGUGAAGAAGGUCUUCGGAUUGUAAAGCACUUUAAGUUGGGGGGAAGGGCAGUAAGUUAAUACCUUGCUGUUUUGACGUUACCAACAGAAUAAGCACCGGCUAACUUCGUG
rnacentral:rRNA from 1 species